CUUCGGUGAUGAUUCGAUGACGAGACGGAACAGGACCACACCUGGUUCUGAAGGUUACUGGUUCAGAACCAUGUUUUGUGGUUCUGCCUCGGUUCCUCAGACCAGGAGGUCUCUUGAAGCUGAAGACACAGAGGCAUUUUUCUGAGAAGG
ensembl:snoRNA SNORD15 Small nucleolar RNA SNORD15